AUUCUUUUUAUUUUCUCUUCCAUGCUUCGCCGAACCCCUCUCCUCCCGAUUCCUUUCCUUCUCUUCUUCUCAUCUGCCCGAGCAGCGUCGUUUCUUCUCCUCCUUGUCUUCCCCAACCGAUGCGCCGCCGCCGACGCCCUCCCGACGCCUCGCUUCCCUUCUCUCCGCUACAAAACUCGUCCCUUCCUCUCUGCGCCGACACCCCGAGCCUAUCUCCCUCCCGAGUCACAAUCGACGUCGAUUUCUCCGAGACCUACCUUAGCACCCGAUCGCGAUCGUGCUGGCGCUGCUUACUUCGGCAUCAGUCGAGCAUCUUGUUCCCUCUAUCCCUCACUGGGAGCCCACCAGUUACUCUCCUCUCCAAGUCAUUGUUCCACACGAGGCGAUCUUCGGCCAAAGGGAAGGAUCUGAGCCCUAAUUUGGUUGGAGUUGAUCGUGAUCGUCUUUCCAGAUGGUUACUUCCUUCUCCCUUGCGCUGGUAUUGAGGUACUAUCAUCGAUCCUUCAUUGCUGAUCUCUCGAUAGCCACUAGGUCAAGUCUCCAUCGAAGAGGAAUUGUCGAUUGGUGGCUUUUGGGAGGUGUCGACCACAAAUUUCUAGUAGCUAUGUUUUUUGGUCGUGAGUCAACAGUGCUGGUUUGAGAAGAGGUAAGGUGCACAAAUUGUUCUGGAAUUAGGUUGUGGAAUUGGUGUGUUUAUUUCUUGAUAUGAUCAGUGAGGUAGUUUCCAACAGUUACUCUUCCGGCAACAACCAUCCCUGGCUGUGGAUCAACAAGAGUGGCUGUGAGAUUGAGUGCUUCUGCAUCCAUUGUUGUGUCGAGGAAUAUCGGCGACAAAGAUAACGAUCGAAGAAGGAGUUGCAUCAAAUGACGGUAAGACAAUAGAGCAGGGAUUAGCAUACGUGCUUAUGAUCGUUGCACUUCUUAUGACUUAUUUUCUCCAUUAAGACAGUUGCUUAAUAAGUCAAAGAGUGAGGUUAAUUAAUUAAUUAAUUAUUUAGUCUAUAUGUUCUAUAAGUUAUUCUUUAAUCCCUCUCUUUGUUAACGAGAGGAUUAUUUUUAAAACGGUUUGAAUAA